CCUGACCUGAAUUGUUCGGAUAACCUAUUAUUUUGAACCUACAUUCAUAAUACGGGAGUCCGGUAAGUUUGAAGGUGUAUACCAGGCCACAAGCUAAUUCCGACAUGCUGAUGCAUGCAACGGCGGUGGAAGGUUGAAACCUGCGGCAGGACACCCACCUAGCGUUGGGCUAGGUGUCAAAAUAUAGGGGAACGGCUUUUCGGGUUUAAA
rnacentral:other from 1 species